UACGAAGGGGGCUAGCGUUGUUCGGAAUCACUGGGCGUAAAGCGCACGUAGGCGGCUCUUUAAGUCAGGGGUGAAAUCCCGAGGCUCAACCUCGGAACUGCCUUUGAUACUGGGGAUCUCGAGUCCGGGAGAGGUGAGUGGAACUGCGAGUGUAGAGGUGAAAUUCGUAGAUAUUCGCAAGAACACCAGUGGCGAAGGCGGCUCACUGGCCCGGAACUGACGCUGAGGUGCGAAGGCGUGGGGAGCAAACAGG
rnacentral:rRNA from 1 species